rnacentral:misc_RNA from 1 species
UUUCCGUAGGUGAACCUGCGGAAGGAUCAUUACAGAGUUCAUGCCCUCACGGGUAGAUCUCCCACCCUUGAAUAUUUAUACCUUAGUUGCUUUGGCAGGCCGUGGAAACACCAUGGGCUCCGGCUUAUGCGUGCCUGCCAGAGGAAACAAACUCUGUUUUUAGUGAUGUCUGAGUACUAUAUAAUAGUUAAAACUUUCAACAACGGAUCUCUUGGUUCUGGCAUCGAGAAGAACGCAGC